UACAGAGGUCUCAAGCGUUGUUCGGAUUCAUUGGGCGUAAAGGGUGCGUAGGUGGCGCUGUAAGUCAGAUGUGAAAUUUCGGAGCUUAACUCCGAAACUGCAUUUAGAUACUGCGGUGCUUUGAGGGACUGGAGAGGAGAUUGGAAUUCACGGUGUAGCAGUGAAAUGCGUAGAUAUCGUGAGGAAGACCAGUGGCGAAGGCGGAUCUCUGGACAUUCCUGACACUGAGGCACGAAGGCCAGGGG
rnacentral:rRNA from 1 species